rnacentral:rRNA from 1 species
AGAGUUUGAUCCUGGCUCAGGAUGAACGCUGGCGGCGUGCCUAAUACAUGCAAGUCGAGCGAACGGACGAGAAGCUUGCUUCUCUGAUGUUAGCGGCGGACGGGUGAGUAACACGUGGAUAACCUACCUAUAAGACUGGGAUAACUUCGGGAAACCGGAGCUAAUACCGGAUAAUAUUUUGAACCGCAUGGUUCAAAAGUGAAAGACGGUCUUGCUGUCACUUAUAGAUGGAUCCGCGCUGCAUUAGCUAGUUGGUAAGGUAACGGCUUACCAAGGCAACGAUGCAUAGCCGACCUGAGAGGGUGAUCGGCCACACUGGAACUGAGACACGGUCCAGACUCCUACGGGAGGCAGCAGAAGGG